UCCCUCAUUCCUAUGAUUCUUUGGAUCUGUGGUACGGUCUCAGCUGAUCCAUCUUUAUCCCUAUUUUGUUAGUUCCAAAAUAUUGUUACUCAUCUUUAAACCAAAAAAAAAGAUAUGAUCUCCGUUAUUUUAUUUAUAGUGUUUUUCAUUUAUUAUAUAAGUAAAUAGUUAAAUAUAUUUUUAAGUAUUUAUUUAUUAUGUUAUUU
rnacentral:lncRNA from 1 species